rnacentral:misc_RNA from 1 species
AGUCGUAACAAGGUUUCCGUAGGUGAACCUGCGGAAGGAUCAUUAACGCAAUCUUUUUUCUUUUCCCCUUCGGGGUUGAGAAGGAAAUAUCUUUCCACUUGGCUCAAUUUUUUCCCUUUUUUCCUCUCCGGAGGAGGGAAAAAAAAGAGCCAACGGAGUAUCUUUGGGGGGAAAAAAGUGGGUUUGAGGAAGGGGCCUCUUCAUUCUUUCCCUUCUUUAUACCCCCAAACCAGGUUCCCAUUUUGGGGAGAAGGGGGAAAGCCUGGUAAAACAAUUUCCCUUGUCAACUUUUAUUUCUUUUUUUAAUAUUUCAAUCACUUUUUCACAAAGUAGAAAAAAUUUCGUACAACUUUUAACAAUGGAUACCUCGGCUCCU